rnacentral:tRNA from 1 species
GACAGUGUGGUCUAGUGGGCAGGGCACUGGUCCAGCACCAUGAGCCAGGGGUUCUAUUCCUGUCUCUGUCG